GCUGCACAUGUUAGAGCUCGUUGGUAAGGCCACUGGCUGGCCCAAUGAGCUCACAAGUGCAGGUAGUGUGCUACAUGAUGGGCAAGAUUUUUGCUAACACCGCAAGGGUCUCUGACCCAAUGAGUAGAGUGUGAUAAUAAUCCUUGCUACAAGU
rnacentral:snoRNA from 1 species